rnacentral:rRNA from 1 species
UACGUAGGGUGCAAGCGUUGUCCGGAUUUAUUGGGCGUAAAGAGCUCGUAGGCGGUCUGUCGCGUCGGAUGUGAAAACCCAGGGCUCAACUCUGGGCGUGCGGUCGAUACGGGCAUCACUUGAGUUCGGCAGGGGAGACUGGAAUUCCUGGUGUAGCGGUGAAAUGCGCAGAUAUCAGGAGGAACACCGGUGGCGAAGGCGGGUCUCUGGGCCGAUACUGACGCUGAGGAGCGAAAGCAUGGGUAGCGAACAGG